GGCCAAGCCUACAGUUACCUGAAACCUCGGGCAGAAGAGGAGAGAAGGAUAACUGCUGAGGAGGAAAAGCAGGAGGAUGAACAGAAACAGAUUAAGAGAGAAACCGGUAGAAGCCCAAGAUGACAACAUACUAAAGUGAGCCUGCCUUUCUCUGGAAUGGUGUGGAUGAAUAAAGCUUUCUGUGUUCUU